rnacentral:rRNA from 1 species
UACGGAGGGGGCUAGCGUUGUUCGGAUUUACUGGGCGUAAAGCGUACGUAGGCGGACUUUUAAGUCAGGGGUGAAAGGCCUGGGCUCAACCCGGGAACUGCCUUUGAUACUGGGAGUCUUGAAUCCGGGAGAGGUAAGCGGAAUUCCAAGUGUAGAGGUGAAAUUCGUAGAUAUUUGGAAGAACACCAGUGGCGAAGGCGGCUUACUGGACCGGUAUUGACGCUGAUGUGCGAAAGCGUGGGGAGCGAACAGG